rnacentral:rRNA from 1 species
UACGUAGGGGGCAAGCGUUAUCCGGAUUUACUGGGUGUAAAGGGAGCGUAGACGGAGCAGCAAGUCUGAUGUGAAAACCCGGGGCUCAACCCCGGGACUGUAUUGGAAACUGUUGAUCUGGAGUGCCGGAGAGGUAAGCGGAAUUCCUAGUGUAGCGGUGAAAUGCGUAGAUAUUAGGAGGAACACCAGUGGCGAAGGCGGCUUACUGGACGGUAACUGACGUUGAGGCUCGAAAGCGUGGGGAGCAAACAGG